rnacentral:rRNA from 1 species
UAGGGAAUCUUCGGCAAUGGGGGGAACCCUGACCGAGCAACGCCGCGUGAGUGAAGAAGGUUUUCGGAUCGUAAAGCUCUGUUGUUAAGGAAGAACGAGUGUGAGAAUGGAAAGUUCAUGCUGUGACGGUACUUAACCAGAAAGGGACGGCUAACUACGUGCCAGCAGCUGCGGUAAUACGUAGGUCCCGAGCGUUGUCCGGAUUUAUUGGGCGUAAAGCGAGCGCAGGCGGUUAGAAAAGUCUGAAGUGAAAGGCAGUGGCUCAACCAUUGUAGGCUUUGGAAACUGUUUAACUUGAGUGCAGAAGGGGAGAGUGGAAUUCCAUGUGUAGCGGUGAAAUGCGUAGAUAUAUGGAGGAACACCGGUGGCGAAAGCGGCUCUCUGGUCUGUAACUGACGCUGAGGCUCGAAAGCGUGGGGAGCGAACAGG